rfam:Trichobilharzia regenti genome assembly, scaffold: TRE_scaffold0053778
GUACUGCUGAAGAGUCCUAAAUUAGGACGGAACAGCUGUCCGGUAC